GGGCAUCGCAUGGAGAAGUCUGACGGAGCACGCCGCGUGAGUGAUGAAGGUUUUCGGAUCGUAAAGCUCUGUUGUUAGGGAAGAACAAGUGCCGUUCAAAUAGGGCGGCACCUUGACGGUACCUAACCAGAAAGCCACGGCUAACUACGUGCCAGCAGCCGCGGUAAUACGUAGGUGGCAAGCGUUGUCCGGAAUUAUUGGGCGUAAAGGGCUCGCAGGCGGUUUCUUAAGUCUGAUGUGAAAGCCCCCGGCUCAACCGGGGAGGGUCAUUGGAAACUGGGGAACUUGAGUGCAGAAGAGGAGAGUGGAAUUCCACGUGUAGCGGUGAAAUGCGUAGAGAUGUGGAGGAACACCAGUGGCGAAGGCGACUCUCUGGUCUGUAACUGACGCUGAGGAGCGAAAGCGUGGGGAGCGAACAGGAUUAGAUACCCUGGUAGUCCACGCCGUAAACGAUGAGUGCUAAGUGUUAGGGGGUUUCCGCCCCUUAGUGCUGCAGCUAACGCAUUAAGCACUCCGCCUGGGGAGUACGGUCGCAAGACUGAAACUCAAAGGAAUUGACGGGGGCCCGCACAAGCGGUGGAGCAUGUGGUUUAAUUCGAAGCAACGCGAAGAACCUUACCAGGUCUUGACAUCCUCUGACAAUCCUAGAGAUAGGACGUCCCCUUCGGGGGCAGAGUGACAGGUGGUGCAUGGUUGUCGUCAGCUCGUGUCGUGAAUGGUUGGGUUAAGUCCCGCACAGGCCCACCCCCAAUA
rnacentral:rRNA from 1 species